CACACAGGCACAUGGGUACACACACACACAUGGGCACAUGGGUACACACACACACACACAGGCACAUGGGUACACACACACACACAGGCACAUGGGUACACACACACACACUCACACACGCAGGCACAUGGGUACACACACACACACAGGCACAUGGGUACACACACACACACUCACACACACAGGCACAUGGGUACACACACACACACUCACACACACAGGCACAUGGGUACACACACACACAGGCAGAUGGGUACACACACACACGUCUGCUGCGUAGGAUGACCUGGU
ensembl:lncRNA